rnacentral:rRNA from 1 species
GACGAACGCUGGCGGCGUGCUUAACACAUGCAAGUCGAACGGAAAGGCCCUGCUUUUGUGGGGUGCUCGAGUGGCGAACGGGUGAGUAACACGUGAGUAACCUGCCCUUGACUUUGGGAUAACUUCAGGAAACUGGGGCUAAUACCGGAUAGGAGCUCCUGCUGCAUGGUGGGGGUUGGAACGUUUCGGCGGUUGGGGAUGGACUCGCGGCUUAUCAGCUUGUUGGUGGGGUAGUGGCUUACCAAGGCUUUGACGGGUAGCCGGCCUGAGAGGGUGACCGGCCACAUUGGGACUGAGAUACGGCCCAGACUCCUACGGGAGGCAGCAGUGGGGAAUAUUGCACAGUGGGCGGAAGCCUGAUGCAGCAACGCCGCGUGCGGGAUGACGGCCUUCGGGUUGUAAACCGCUUUCGCCUGUGACGAAGCGUGAGUGACGGUAAUGGGUAAAGAAGCACCGGCUAACUACGUG